rnacentral:rRNA from 1 species
CGCGGCCUAUCAGCUUGUUGGUGGGGUGAUGGCCUACCAAGGCGUCGACGGGUAGCCGGCCUGAGAGGGCGACCGGCCACAUUGGGACUGAGAUACGGCCCAAACUCCUACGGGAGGCAGCAGUGGGGAAUAUUGCACAAUGGGCGGAAGCCUGAUGCAGCAACGCCGCGUGCGGGAUGACGGCCUUCGGGUUGUAAACCGCUUUCAGCAGGGACGAAGCGUGAGUGACGGUACCUGCAGAAGAAGCACCGGCUAACUACGUGCCAGCAGCCGCGGUGAUACGUAGGGUGCGAGCGUUGUCCGGAUUUAUUGGGCGUAAAGAGCUUGUAGGCGGUUGGUUGCGUCGAAAGUGCAAACUCAGGGCUUAACUCUGAGCCUGCUUUCGAUACGGGCUGACUGGAGGAAGGUAGGGGAGAAUGGAAUUCCCGGUGGAGCGGUGGAAUGCGCAGAUAUCGGGAGGAACACCAGUGGCGAAGGCGGUUCUCUGGACCUUUCCUGACGCUGAGAAGCGAAAGCGUGGGGAGCAAACAGGCUUAGAUACCCUGGUAGUCCACGCUGUAAACGGUGGGUACUAGGUGUGGGGGACAUUCCACGUUCUCUGUGCCGUAGCUAACGCAUUAAGUACCCCGCCUGGGGAGUACGG